GAACGCUGGCGGCAGGCCUAACACAUGCAAGUCGAACGGUAGCACAGAGAGCUUGCUCUCGGGUGACGAGUGGCGGACGGGUGAGUAAUGUCUGGGAAACUGCCUGAUGGAGGGGGAUAACUACUGGAAACGGUAGCUAAUACCGCAUAACGUCGCAAGACCAAAGAGGGGGACCUUCGGGCCUCUUGCCAUCAGAUGUGCCCAGAUGGGAUUAGCUAGUAGGUGGGGUAACGGCUCACCUAGGCGACGAUCCCUAGCUGGUCUGAGAGGAUGACCAGCCACACUGGAACUGAGACACGGUCCAGACUCCU
rnacentral:rRNA from 1 species